GUAGGAGUCCAUGCAGGGAGCCAGCUUCAGGUCUGCCCCUAGCAAGAUAAGAUAACUGGAGUCUACUAGAGAAGUUAAGUCCCUUCUCCAGCAUCACACAGAUUUUUCAAGGACUAUUGCAGUCACCAUACAGUCAUCUACAAACACAAAGCCCAUCUCCAGGAAUAUUUUUUCAUCAUGAGCACUGUACUGGAUAUCCUCCAUGCCAGUGAACAGAAUGCCAAAGAUCACUGGAAAAAAAAAGAAAAAGACAACAAAAAUAUAAAAAGAAGGACAACACUCAGGUCUAGCCCUGCAAGAGCUUUUGGCAAAGUUGGAAUGAUAAGGAUGAAGUAGUUCUAAUGAGUUCAAUUUUCUCGUCUCUUCUUGAUGUGGUGAGAUGGGAGGCUGUCGUAAGGACAAGUCCUAUCACAUCUGGAGUAUUGUGCUCAAUUCUGGGCAUCUCACUGAAGAAAGGACAUUGAAAAGCUGAGGGGGAGAGUGACCAGAAUGAAAAGAGCACAGAAACCAUGUCACAUGAGGAUCAUUUGAAAGAAUGGGAAUUUUUACCCUGGAAGAGAGAAGAUUUAAGGGAGAGAUGAUAGCUGUCUGCAGGAUGAAAGUAAUUUGUUUUGAUUUGGUGGUAAAGAAGAGUGUGAAUAUCAGACAGUUGUCCAAGGAAUGAGAAAAGGCACUGAACAGCAAGUCUGGACACCUACCUUUGCCUCAUUAUGGGUCUGUAGAAUCUCAGAAUUGGAAGGAGCUUGGGAGGCCAUCUAAUGUCCAACUCUCCAAAUGUCCAAAUAUCCGUCUACAACAGCUCCAAGAAGUGAUGGUCCAACCUUUGUUAGAAGAAUUCCAAAGUGGGGAAUCCACUCACCUCCCAAGGAAACCCAUUGUACUUUUGAACAGCUUAUUUUCUAAAGUGUUUUCUAAACUCAAGUCUAAAUCUGCCUAUCUUUAAUUUCCACCCAUUGCUCUUUGUUCUUUCCUUUUUUUUUGUUCUAAGCAAAACAAAUCUAAUCUCUCUUCCAUGUAAAAGCCCUUCAAAGACUUGAUGAUUGAUUGCCUAUAAGACUUUUGUUUUUCUUUCCUUUCCUUCUCUGCCUCAUUUCCUCCAAGUAUUGUAUCAAUUUGUAUAUAUCAGUAUUUCAGUGAAACUGUUUUCUCAUUGAGUCUGACAUUGCUUCCCUUGGUACGGAUCACAACC